CAAUAGCGUAUAUUAAAGUUGUUGCAGUUAAAAAGCUCGUAGUUGGAUUUCGGGGUGGCCUGCCUGGUCCACCGCAAGGUGAGUACUGGUCAGCCGCCCUUCCUCUCGAAAGCCCCGACUGCUCUUCAUUGCAGUGGUCGGGUAGUUCGGGACGUUUACUUUGAAAAAAUUAGAGUGUUCAAGGCAGGCUAUCGCCUGAAUACAUUAGCAUGGAAUAAUGGAAGAGGACCUCGGUCCUAUUUUGUUGGUUUCUAGGGCCGAAGUAAUGAUUAAGAGGGACAGUUGGGGGCAUUCGUAUUUAAUUGUCAGAGGUGAAAUUCUUGGAUUUACGGAAGACGAACAACUGCGAAAGCAUUUGCCAAGGAUGUUUUCAUUAA
rnacentral:rRNA from 1 species